CCUGCAGUCGGACGGUAGCACAGAGGAGCUUGCUCCUUGGGUGACGAGUGGCGGACGGGUGAGUAAUGUCUGGGGAUCUGCCCGAUAGAGGGGGAUAACCACUGGAAACGGUGGCUAAUACCGCAUAACGUCGCAAGACCAAAGAGGGGGACCUUCGGGCCUCUCACUAUCGGAUGAACCCAGAUGGGAUUAGCUAGUAGGCGGGGUAAUGGCCCACCUAGGCGACGAUCCCUAGCUGGUCUGAGAGGAUGACCAGCCACACUGGAACUGAGACACGGUCCAGACUCCUACGGGAGGCAGCAGUGGGGAAUAUUGCACAAUGGGCGCAAGCCUGAUGCAGCCAUGCCGCGUGUAUGAAGAAGGCCUUCGGGUUGUAAAGUACUUUCAGCGGGGAGGAAGGCGGUGAGGUUAAUAACCUCGCCGAUUGACGUUACCCGCAGAAGAAGCACCGGCUAACUCCGUGCCAGCAGCCGCGGUAAUACGGAGGGUGCAAGCGUUAAUCGGAAUUACUGGGCGUAAAGCGCACGCAGGCGGUCUGUUAAGUCANAUGUGAAAUCCCCGGGCUUAACCUGGGAACUGCAUUUGAAACUGGCAGGCUUGAGUCUCGUAGAGGGGGGUAGAAUUCCAGGUGUAGCGGUGAAAUGCGUAGAGAUCUGGAGGAAUACCGGUGGCGAAGGCGGCCCCCUGGACGAAGACUGACGCUCAGGUGCGAAAGCGUGGGGACAAACAAGAUUAGAUACCCUGGUAGUCCACGCCGUAAACGAUGUCGACUUGGAGGUUGUUCCCUUGAGGAGUGCUUC
rnacentral:rRNA from 1 species